rnacentral:ncRNA from 1 species
CCGGUGACUGCGGGAGAGACUGGCUGAAAACGCCAGCGCCGAAGGAGCAACCGCCCCGGAAACUCUCAGGCAAAAGGGACCGCAGUCAGGUC